AGGAGUAAUCAUCUCUCGUCAGUCGACAUUCUAUUGGACCCCACUCCACUUACCAUCGGGUGCAGUUGCAUCAGUAUGCCUAUGAUUAAACGUGGUUUUUAGAUUUUAUUUUCUUCUGAUGUUUCCAAAGCAAUGCAGCUUUCAAAAUCACGAGGCAGACUGCGACAUAUGUAUUACAAGUUAUAGUUACUAGGAGAUCUACUGCUAUUAAAUGACGUAAGAAUUGAUUUGGCUAGCAUCUAGUACCUAUUUCUAAUGCCAAGCAAGAAACGCUCAGUAUUUCGGUCCGAAGAACAUUGUAGCUAUCGUAGUUAAAUAUCAGACUAUUUGUUUCGUUUUUGAGCUAUAGAAAAAAAGUUGUAAUGCCAAAAGACUUAGAAUAUUUCCGAUGGGUUGUACAUUUUAAAAUAUUACAGCAAUAAUGAGGUCUAUGCCCUCCCAAAAAAAUAUAAUAAAUAUGAAAACAAAAAACGUCUCCAAAAAAAGACAAUUAAUUCCAAAGAAAACUAUAUGUGGUGUUAAAUUGGUAAUUUCUUUGUUAUAGUUAUUAAAUUUUGGGCAAGAAGAAGACAAACCAUUCAGCUUAUCUACAAAGGGCACAAGUUUAGCAAAACUUGGAUUUACACGAGUGGAAAGGUCCAAUGGUCGUGUAGUUAUGCGCGCAAGGGAUGCAAAGCACGAAUCAUAACUCUAUCUGACAAUCUAAGUGACGGCGUUGACAGUUUGCAAACAAAACACAACCAUCGAUGAUUUGGCAUAAGUAUACUACAAAACAUCGGCUCGUGGAACGCGACACCUCAUAGUAGACGGAUAUGCCUUCAUCUGCAGGACCUACUGUCUCCAACACGUAAAAAAGACUUGGAAGUGUGCCACCCAUGCCGACUGCACCGCCAAGGUCCACACUAUAGACGACGAGAUCGUCAGUUUAAAAAACGACCACAACCAUCCAAUCGGUAGUCUUAAGUACAAAAUAGUCCAAUGGGAAUCACCGUUCGAUCUAGUCAAUUGAUCAUUGCUAUUUCAUAGUCUAAAUUGCUCAAUGUUGAAGUUUGUUAAUGUGUUCAUGUUAAUGUAUUUUUUGAAAAUACUCAAUGCAAAAUGAAUACUGAUGUUUCAAUAUUAUCAAUUUAGGAGUCAAACCCAAGUGAAAUACAAUAUUAAUUAUGGAAACACAAUCAAUUACUGGAUAAUAAAACGUAGAGUGAAUGUUCGAUGUUAACGCUGUUGUAAUAAUUCCAGGUAAUCUCUUCUACUCUACUUCGCAGCGUGGAGGACUUAUAAUGCACGUCGGUAAUUACAGGUACAACAAGCGAACCAACUCUGCGAACGAUAGGAGUAUAUGGUAUUGCACUCACUAUUAUAGCACGCCCCAAUGCAAAGCGAAAAUCUACAAGAUUGGUGGAUUCAUCUCUGAGUUAGGCAACCAUAAUCACUAAUAAACGUGUUCAAUUGUAUAUAUUUUAAUAUUUGUUUGUGUUUUAUCCUUA